UACGAAGGGUGCAAACGUUGCUCGGAAUUAUUGGGCGUAAAGCGCACGUAGGCGGCUACGCAAGUCGGAUGUGAAAUCCCUCGGCUCAACCAAGGAAGUGCAUCCGAAACUGCAUAGCUUGAGUACCAAAGAGGAUCGCGGAAUUCCCGGUGUAGAGGUGAAAUUCGUAGAUAUCGGGAGGAACACCAGUGGCGAAGGCGGCGAUCUGGGUGGUUACUGACGCUGAAGUGCGAAAGCGUGGGGAGCGAACAGG
rnacentral:rRNA from 1 species